rnacentral:rRNA from 1 species
UACGUAGGGGGCUAGCGUUGUCCGGAAUCAUUGGGCGUAAAGCGCGCGUAGGCGGCCCGGUAAGUCCGCUGUGAAAGUCAAAGGCUCAACCUUUGAAUGUCAGCGGAUACUGCCGGGCUAGAGUCCGGAAGAGGCGAGUGGAAUUCCUGGUGUAGCGGUGGAAUGCGCAGAUAUCAGGAGGAACACCAACGGCGAAGGCAGCUCGCUGGGACGGUACUGACGCUGAGGCGCGAAAGCGUGGGGAGCGAACGGG